rnacentral:rRNA from 1 species
UGCCGAAGGGAAACCGUGAAACGUGCCGCCUGGGAAGUACGGUCGCAAGGCUGAAACUUAAAGGAAUUGGCGGGGGAGCACCACAAGGGGUGAAGCUUGCGGUUUAAUUGGAGUCAACGCCGGA